rnacentral:lncRNA from 1 species
CAUCAAGUCAUAGCUUUGCGGGCAAUAGAUCAGAGGAUACUGCCAGUUUUUCUAAUGGAUUAUUGUUAUCGGGCAGGUUCUUCCUGAAGAGUCUUUUUAGUGCAGCAGCUAUAUCUUGGAUUUUGUUGUGUGACCUUGAUAACUGCUGUCAAGCCCUUCAGAUAACUGCCAGAUUUGUCAAGAUUAAAAGGAUGUAAAGAAAGAAGUUAAGCAUUGCUCUUUUCUGGGCAGUUCUACACAGUGUAUGCACCAGUGCUUCAUAUUCAGAAUCAAUCUCCCUGCCUAAGUAGGAUACCUGAGAACAGGCC